rnacentral:rRNA from 1 species
GACAGCGGCGACAGCACGUUCAAUGCACCAGUUCCUAGUGGUUCACCGAAGAUAAGUAACGUUGCGUGUGGUUGGUAUCCGGAUGGGUGACAGUCUGGGCAAUCGCGUGAUGGUUUUU